GAUGAACGCUGGCGGCGUGCCUAACACAUGCAAGUCGAACGGGGUUAUACUUUUGGAAGCACUUGAUUUAUCAAGGGUGGACAUGUGUAUAACCUAGUGGCGAACGGGUGAGUAACGCGUGGAUAACCUGCCUUAUACUGGGGGAUAACACUUAGAAAUAGGUGCUAAUACCGCAUAAAAUCCUACAUUCGCAUGGGCGUAGGAGAAAAGAUUAUAUCGGUAUAAGAUGGAUCCGCGUCUGAUUAGCUAGUUGGUGGGGUAACGGCCCACCAAGGCAUCGAUCAGUAGCCGGCCUGAGAGGGUGUACGGCCACAUUGGGACUGAGACACGGCCCAAACUCCUACGGGAGGCAGCAGUGGGGAAUAUUGCACAAUGGGGGGAACCCUGAUGCAGCGACGCCGCGUGAGUGAAGAAGUAUUUCGGUAUGUAAAGCUCUAUCAGCAGGGAAGAAAACCACCAUUUGGUGGCUGGACGGUACCUGACUAAGAAGCCCCGGCUAACUACGUGCCAGCAGCCGCGGUAAUACGUAGGGGGCAAGCGUUAUCCGGAUUUACUGGGUGUAAAGGGAGCGUAGACGGUUAGAUAAGUCUGGAGUGAAAAUCCUAAGCUUAACUUAGGAACUGCUUUGGAAACUAUGUAACUGGAGUGCAGGAGAGGUAAGCGGAAUUCCUAGUGUAGCGGUGAAAUGCGUAGAUAUUAGGAGGAACACCGGCGGCGAAGGCGGCUUACUGGACUGUAACUGACGUUGAGGCUCGAAAGCGUGG
rnacentral:rRNA from 1 species